UCACUUUUACACUGAAAGUGUAAAAAAAAAACCCCGCCGAAUUGAUCUGACUCCGCCCCUCAAGCACCUCUGCCUCGCAGAGCGACGACGCCAUUUUAUCUUCAGGCGACCAAGACGGUAUACAGUGUUAUGUUCGUGAGGUGUAGAGAGGCAACCUUAGCCUACAGAAGAGUGAAAGUUUCUAAUCCGGGUUCGAUUUCCUGAAAUAAGAUCCUCUCGUCUCUAUUCCGCCGAGGCCUGGUUUUACUACGAGUCUGAAGCAGCCACAUUUGGGCGGUUUUCUACUCCGAGGAGAGGAUUCAUCAAAUGUAGAAUUGGCCCAGACUUCUGCAGUGUCAAGUGAAGGAAGCUCCUCUCAUAAGAUUGCAGACCUGGAGUCUGAUGACACCGAGCGAGUGAUGGAGGGAGCAGAAUGAUGAAGAUGAAGCCAGAAUUAAACCAAGUUCCUGGCUUUUCUCGAGACCUUCAAGGACCCGAUUGACCUCGGAAUCAGCUGUAAAGGAGGAUGAAACCGAUGUUUAAGAAUGGGACAGCGAUAUUGCAUCAAUUUGUCUCCUUCAUUUGGUUCCACCAUCGCUGCAAGGGACCUGGAGAAAUGUCCUCCUAUCAAGCUGAAAAACAUCUUCAAAAAGGCACUAACCAGAAGAACACCUUGAUUGCAUAGAAGAGACCACACAGCCAUACCUGCUCGCUGAUGGGACAACGAGGAACAGCACUGCUACACAACUGUCGACAAGUAUCUUGCUGCAAUCUUGUUCAAAUCUACCUGUCAUAUUUGUUAAUGUCUAGGUAAAUUUUAUGAUUUUGUGUUUUAUUAACUCUUUUAUGUUUCUGUGCAACACUUAAUGAAUGUGACUGACUAAUUAACCUCUACACAUCUGGUAUAUGCUUUAAAGUUGCCACUUUGCCCAUUUGUUAAAUAAACGUUGGAAUUUGUACAUCUGUCUGAAGACUCUUGAUUUUAUGUCUAAUCUUGUACAUUAACACUAUACAAUAGCAUUUUUAUUUUUGCACUGAAAAGAAUACUUUAUUAAUAACACUUAAAACAACACCAGGGGUGUUAAAUACCCCAGAGUGUAAAAUUUGAACAAUUGCAAGUGUAACAAUUCACACUCGGAGUGCAAUUUUUCUACACUAUAAGGUGCUAUAUUAACACUAAAAAUUCAACACUAUGAAUGGUGUACUUUUAACACUACACCGAUUGGGACCAUAUAUGAUCUUUAGUAGUGUUAAACUGACACUGCGUUUUUUUUACUGUGUACAAAACUGCCAAGUUUUCCUUUCAUUGUAAUCAACAUGAUCAAAUCACGUAACCAUUGCUUUAAUUUGUUCAUUGUUUCUGAACUCAUGACAUUAAUUAACUGCAUGAUUUGUAUAGCCUAAUUUUAGAACAUGUCUGCCAUAUGUACAUUACUUUAGCACAGUUACACCUGUUAACAAAAAUCUUAUUUGUAAAUGUAGAAACGUUCAUUUUCUGUAAAGGUGCUUUGAAACAAUGUAAUAAAAAGUGCUAUACAAAUAAAUGUGAAUUGAACAAAACUUGAUGCAUUUUUUUUCUCCUCUCCGUGUCAGUAGGGAAACCAUACAUUCACACUCC